UAGGGAAUAUUGCAAAAUGGGCGAAAGCCCGAUGCAGCAACGCCGCGUGGGCGAUGAAGGCCUUCGGGUCGUAAAACCCUUUUUGAGGGGAUGAGGAAGGACAGUACCCUCAGAAUAAGCCUCGGCUAACUACGUGCCAGCAGCCGCGGUAAAACGUAGGAGGCGAGCGUUAUCCGGAUUUACUGGGCGUAAAGCGCGUGCAGGCGGAUUGGAGAGUUGGAUGUGAAAGCUCCCGGCUUAACUGGGAGAGGUCGUUCAAUACUUCCAGUCUUGAGUGCAGUAGAGGGAAGUGGAAUUCCGGGUGUAGUGGUGAAAUGCGUAGAUAUCCGGAGGAACACCAGUGGCGAAAGCGGCUUCCUGGACUGUAACUGACGCUCAGACGCGAAAGCUAGGGUAGCAAAC
rnacentral:rRNA from 1 species